rnacentral:rRNA from 3 species
UACGAACCGUCCAAACGUUAUUCGGAUUCAUUGGGCUUAAAGGGUACGUAGGCGGCGCCAUCAGUCGGGUGUGAAAGCCCUCGGCUCAACCGAGGAACUGCGCCCGAUACUGUGGUGCUUGAGGGAGACAGAGGUAAGCGGAACUGAUGGUGGAGCGGUGAAAUGCGUUGAUAUCAUCAGGAACACCGGUGGCGAAAGCGGCUUACUGGGUCUCUUCUGACGCUGAGGUACGAAAGCUAGGGGAGCGAACGGG